rnacentral:snoRNA from 10 species
GCAUGGGUUUGGAUUUAUGAUGGGCUGGAUUCCCUAGGCCUCUCAUAGUACCCCAUGCCAGAGCAAACUGUAGCCCCAACCAUUGCCGGGCCUCUAUGCCUGUAGGCUGCUGGCACUGAAGUGGGUUGCACAGUA